GGUCUUUAAUUCUUAACUUAAACCCAUUAUAUAUAUAGGGCUGGCUUGCCAGCUAUGACGAUAAACGCGCAUAUAAUAAGCGGACUGGACCCGGGGGCGGUACCCGGCGGCUCCACCAUAAACAGAUCGACGAGCAUCUGUUUUUGAUGGGGCCGAAAUAGGAUCGACAGACGUCUAAAAAUGUUAGCUUUCGUCCGGAUGGGUAUCGUUAAAUGCCCGUUUUAGUAGAUGCAAAUGAUAACUCUGCUGAAGAGCUAGUUCUCGCUGCGUAAGCAGUGCGAAUUACUCGCAUUUAACUCCCUAGACCUUUAGCCGUUUAGGGCGGGCUCCGGGGGUAGCUGGCAACAGAAACCCCCACU
rnacentral:tmRNA from 1 species